rnacentral:rRNA from 1 species
GUAGGUGGCAAGCGUUGUCCGGAAUUAUUGGGCGUAAAGCGCGCGCAGGCGGUUCUUUAAGUCUGAUGUGAAAGCCCACGGCUCAACCGUGGAGGGUCAUUGGAAACUGGAGAACUUGAGUACAGAAGAGGAAAGCGGAAUUCCACGUGUAGCGGUGAAAUGCGUAGAGAUGUGGAGGAACACCAGUGGCGAAGGCGGCUUUCUGGUCUGUAACUGACGCUGAGGCGCGAAAGCGUGGGGAGCAAACAGGGAUUAGAUACCCUGGUAGUCCACGCCGUAAACGAUGAGUGCUAAGUGUUAGGGGGGGUUUCCGCCCCCUUAGUGCUGCAGCUAACGCAUUAAGCACUGCGCCUGGGAGUACGGCCGCAAGGCUG